GGCUGUAGCUUAGUGGUAAAGCGCUUACCUCGUAUGCGUAAGGCACUGAGUUUGAUCCUCAGCACCA
rnacentral:tRNA from 1 species